AUGGUCUCACAUCCAAAUACUUAACAGCCGAUGGCUUAAUCUGUAAUUUUCAGUAAGCAUGAUUGCUUAUUGCAUUGUACAGGAAGUGUGAAGACUAAUUUGUGAAUAAGAGUAAUCACAUGGGUUAAACUGAAAAUCGCCAAAGGUAUAAGGUUGCCCCAAUCUUUUCUUCCCCCGUGCUGUGUGUGGCUAAUGGAGAUUAUAGUCGUCAUUUGGGAAUGACAUCACGCCGUCGUUGCUCUGGCUCGCGGGAUAAAGGAGAGGAAGGAUCUCAUUGUGCCUUCACAGGAGAACACGCUCGGGUGACCCAGUAAGCAAGAAAAUGGGCCAAGGAAGGCAGCCAUCGCUAAAAAUACCGAGCCAGGUCAACUGAUCGGAUAAGGGAGAAAGCAACGAGGAGCAAAUCCAGCCACAUCUCAUCUCUCAAUCCCUAAUCUUGUGACCGACAGGCGAAGACACCCCCGGCUGGCUGACCGCAUCACCAGCGGUGAGAUGUGCUCCUGCCGCACUCGUUCUUAUUGGAAGAAUCUCCACACAGGAGGGUACCAGACACAAGGCCGUUAGAGGAUGCGGGCGCAGCGCACCGGCCGUAUCUCGCUGGCGCCAGAGGGCGUCGGUGCCAACCACCGCAGUGGGGCAUCACAACAGGGUGGGCGCUGCCGCGACAUGAGCGUCCAUGGCCGUCGCUUCCGUCGGUCGCCGGGAGCGCGGACACGCAAGGUCCGAGGAAGGCGCAGCCGCCGCUUGAUGCUUAGGCGGCCGUGUCGCAUGGGCCGCGGGAAGGCGUGCCAGUGGAGCCACUACGUCGUGCAAGAAACCCGAACUGGCCGCUGAUGCGUCAAAGGCUCGAUGCCUCCGUGCGCUGCAACUACGAGGGCUAAAGUUCGUCGACGUCGAGCGCUUGAGGGCCCGCCACUGUUUACGACGCCGGAGGCCAAGCCGUCGCUCCAGUCCAGCGGGGCCGACGCCAGACGAAGCCGAUGGCGUCAUCAUUCACGUUCUCUAUUAUUCCAGAUAGAUGGACGCCAUUGCCCUUGUUCUUCGUUCACAGGGAGAGGUUGUCGCUUGGAUGCUUUUCCGCCGGGGCGAGGGCCGCCACUCAACCGCUGAUAACAUGUUAGACUAAAAUGAGAUUGAAUAUGAAUGGACGAUUAGUCCUGUUUUUAUUGAUUCUCGAAUAUACAUAUAUCUGGAAAAGGUGGGAAAAAGAAGCGCCUGUUCGGAGGCAUCCGUUCAGAACAGGUGGCUCAGAGAGAAAAGACACGACUGUUCGGGGUUGGACACACCCUUUGCUAAGUAAUUUCUAACAAAAGUUACUCAUCCAAA